GACGAACGCUGGCGGCGUGCUUAACACAUGCAAGUCGAACGAUGAAGCCGGAGCUUGCUCUGGUGAAUUAGUGGCGAACGGGUGAGUAACACGUGAGUAACCUGCCCUUGACUCUGGGAUAACUGCGGGAAACUGUAGCUAAUACCGGAUGCGACCCUCGGAGGCAUCUCCUGGGGGUGGAAAGAACUUCGGUCAAGGAUGGACUCGCGGCCUAUCAGCUAGUUGGUGAGGUAAAGGCUCACCAAGGCGACCACGGGUAGCCGGCCUGAGAGGGUGACCUGCCACAGUGGGACUGAGACACGGCCCAGACUCCUACGGGAGGCAGCAGUGGGGAAUAUUGCACAAUGGGCGCAAGCCUGAUGCAGCAACGCCGCGUGAGGGAUGACGGCCUUCGGGUUGUAAACCUCUUUUAGCAGGGAAGAAGCGAAAGUGACGGUACCUGCAGAAAAAGCACCGGCUAACUACGUGCCAGCCGCCGCCGUAA
rnacentral:rRNA from 1 species